UUUGCUGUGGCUCAGUUUGUAAAGCAUUGCGCUAACAAGCAAAGGUCAAAGGGGUUCAAAUCCCAGGGAAAG